rnacentral:rRNA from 1 species
UACGUAGGGUGCGAGCGUUGUCCGGAAUUAUUGGGCGUAAAGGGCUCGUAGGCGGUCUGUCACGUCGGGAGUGAAAACCCAGGGCUCAACCCUGGGCCUGCUUCCGAUACGGGCAGACUAGAGGUAUGCAGGGGAGAAUGGAAUUCCUGGUGUAGCGGUGAAAUGCGCAGAUAUCAGGAGGAACACCGGUGGCGAAGGCGGUUCUCUGGGCAUUACCUGACGCUGAGGAGCGAAAGUGUGGGGAGCGAACAGG